GUUAUGCAAUGCUCUGAAGAAUACCUUGGGAUUCUUUCCGGCGGCUCUGAACGCAGGUGUGUGGCAGCGCUCACACUCUUGCCAGGAAAGCUGACUUCUUUUCAUCCUUUUCCAGGCUGGACUAAAAUUACAUAGUGUGACUGCACGUAGGUCGCUGCGUUUGGAAUUACAGCAUGUCAACGUGAGAAAGCCUCUUCAGACGGCUGCCACAAGGAGUAAAUCAAAGGCUGGGCUUUUCGGAAGUCUUCAUAAAUAACUAAGUAUAACUGAAUAAAACCAGGAGCUCUUUGCCUUUUUUUUUUUAUUUUUUUUUUUUUUUUUUAAAGCAAAACCGAACCGCAUUCAUUUCGUUGCUCUGCAUCAUCUAAGGGAAAAAAAAUCCUCAAUUUUAAUGAGAAUUAGUCAACAGUGAGGAUCGUUACCAGGAAGGGUUUUCACUGUUUUUCGACUGCCCUUGCUGUAGUGGAUUACUGAGAGAAGGCCAGUCAUUCGGAAGAUUCUGUAACAUUAUUAUCCUCGCCGAUGAACUUCUUCAUCAAGAAACUGUUCAUGCUCCUAUCUGGUCUGUCUGAGGGAGGAAACCAGCCCCUUCAUGAAGAUAAAAGCCUCGUUUGCCACUGAAUCGACGAGUAAGAAGCAUGUCUGAUGACAUUUUAUUCCUGAUGCAAUGUAGGCUAGCUGCCAGAAUACUGGUGAAGGUAUUUGCAGGAAAAAUGGGGACCUCUGCAAUCACAACACUGGAAGAUGUAAAAAGGCAAGAGGAGAAA